CACUUUAAUUACUCCUUUUGAAUUUUCAACUUUUAAUUUAAAUUAAAAGUAACAACUUCUCAGCCAAAUAUUAAUUAUCUUUUUUGGUGUUCUCCUUUAUCUGUUUUUAUAUCCUACUUUUUCUCCUUCCACUAUGUUUGAUAAGCGUGUGGUCAAAUGCCAUUUAAUGGAGCCGGAAAAAACUUGGGUUUUCCCAUUCUUUCUAUGUGCAGCCGCCCAAAGUAACCCUACUUUUUCCCCUUUCAAUUGCUUUCAGCCAUAACUCUCACACUCUCUACCAGAGAUGGGUUAUUGGGACCAUCAACCAUCAUUAAUGGAGAUGACUCCUUAAUUCAAUUUAGAGAUGGAGCCAUUACCCGUCUCUUUUCUCCUAUUUAAGGUCCAUUAGAUCAAAUUUGCUGAUAAUGUUUUCACAUGAAGCAUUCUUUGAGCUAGCUACAGAUUUUUAUCCCAGCGCAUGUGUUCCAUCCAGCUGGUUGAUGUCUUCGUUUCCUUUCUCACUCUCAUGUUUCUUUCAAUUUUUUUUGACUGAAUUUUGGUCGUUUUUUUUAUCAAGUGAAGCAUUUUACCACCUGAAAUUUGCAGCCUAACAUAUUGCAUAAUUGCUUCAUUCAUAUGAAAAUUCUAUCGUACAGAGUCACACACUAUGCAAGAAUUAUCCUGUAAUGGGAGCCUAGCACAUCAUAUUUUGGUCCAUUAAGUAUUUUUCUAAGGAUUAAAGUAUGUUAACAGUUAUUUCACCGGCAUCCCAAUGAAAAAGAUAGGUAAAGAAAAGUUAGAGGUAUAAUUGCUACUGGAAUUAAUAUUCUUUUUUUUUCAUGGAUAUGCAUGUUUGAUAUUUUUGCUUUUUGAAGAGAAUUGAUGUGACUACAUAAUAAUGAUAAUUGUGAUGAUUUAUGAUACAUGUCCAAACCUAAAUCACACCUGAUAGGUUAUAGAUUGCAGUAAAUGCAUCAUUGACCUUACUUUUCCAAUCAUUUUCUUUGGUUUAGUGAUUGGAAAUUUUGAAUGAUAAAACUAUAAGAGCUGAUUCUAAGGGCACUCAUCCUCCAAGUAUUGAAGAAGUGGUUAUUAAAAUAGGCUAGGGAAUCUGAAAAAUAGGAAAUAUUUUAUAGAGCAUUUCAAUAGCACAAGCAAAAGUCAUGUUCAUGUAGUGGAGAUUGAUUGGUGUCUGUUUUUUGUUAGCUUUAGAUAUAACAUGAUUAUAAUUUUAGAUUGGUGACUGUUUAAAUAUGAGUUCAACCAUGAAGCCUGAGAGAGGCCUUAUUUUUGUCACUUAUUAUUUUUUAACUCAGUUUAUGGUCACGACUUAGGAGUCGUGACCUUUAUAAUGUUGCAAUAAGUAAUCAAUGAGUAGGAAGUUUGGGAUGAUCGAAAAAUAGAAACUCUAUCAUAAUGUAUCAGCUGUAUUUUCUAUUAAUGAGAAUUUUUUCUAAAGAUCUGUUUAGUUUAGUUGAGGUUUAAGUGGUUUAUCCUAUGAAUGUGGUUCUUUUCUGUAAAUCAGUAUAUUUUAGUUGAAGCUAAAAGCUAAUUGUAAACUGAAGGAGUUCUCGGUGCACGAGGUUUUAUAGUGCUAUGGUUCUUAUUUUUUGUAUGACAGAGAUUGUUUACCAGGAAUAGGCAUUAUGUUUUUUUCUCUAUGUCAGUGUUACUUUUACUCUUUGUUUUUAUUCUUUGACUGAUACUAAUAUUUUUCUAUUAAAUAUUGUUUUCUUCAGGUGUUAAAUAACAGACGAUGGUAGAUUAAGUGAUGGAAAUUGGGGGCUAUUUGCCUGUGUUAGUUGUAUAACAUAAACUGGACAUGUUAAACCAGUUAUUUGAAUUUGUAUUCAUUAUUUGUCUUCUUUUAGGUUGUGUACUUGCUGUGGUUACUGAUUUGGACGGAUCAAUUUUUCAAACAUCUCUUGCUUUCAGAGAUGAGCUUUAAUCUCUAUGCUGGGAGUUACAGUGUUAAAAUAAAUUUUGAUGUGUUAAGGAAA